rnacentral:lncRNA from 1 species
GCAGUCGAGUCACCAGUCCCCUACAUGUUUGAGAAAAGAUUGUAAGGAUAAAUAUAAUAUGAUAGUGUUGAUUGAACGAGAGCUAGUUUGUCAAUAGUUAGGUAAAUGUACUAACCGGAGUCUGACUGCAUAGUGCCACCCAUUCAUCGAACGUGGGUACAUGUGGGGGUUCUCCAGCAGGUGGUGGUGGGGGUCCCAUUUGUGGUGGCUCCGCGCGGUUAUUCCAAGACGCCACUAUAGCCUGGAUGUUAGUUAACCAAGCAAACUAGAAGGUCAGAAGGAAUGAAAGUGCAAAUUUUAGCUUGGUUUGAAGAGGGCAAAACUAACCGCCAUCAUCUCACGAUUGUAAUUCACGUUUGCCUUCAUUAGGCGCAUGUACUCCUGCACCUCGAGAUUCCUACGCUCGACAAAGGCCAUGUAUGCCU